AGUGUUUGAUCCUGGCUCAGAGCGAACGCUGGCGGCAGGCCUAACACAUGCAAGUCGAACGCCCGUGGCAACACGGGAGUGGCAGACGGGUGAGUAACACGUGGGAACGUGCCCUUUCGGUUCGGAAUAACUCAGGGAAACUUGAGCUAAUAGGGAUACGCCCUUACGGGGAAAGAUUUAUCGCCGAUGGAUCGGCCCGCGUCUGAUUAGCUAGUUGGUGAGGUAACGGCUCACCAAGGCGACGAUCAGUAGCUGGUCUGAGAGGAUGAUCAGCCACACUGGGACUGAGACACGGCCCAGACUCCUACGGGAGGCAGCAGUGGGGAAUAUUGGACAAUGGGGGAAACCCUGAUCCAGCCAUGCCGCGUGAGUGAUGAAGGCCCUAGGGUUGUAAAGCUCUUUCGGCGGGGACGAUAAUGACGGUACCCGCAGAAGAAGCCCCGGCUAACUUCGUGCCAGCAGCCGCGGUAAUACGAAGGGGGCAAGCGUUGCUCGGAAUCACUGGGCGUAAAGGGCGCGUAGGCGGACGUUUAAGUCAGGGGUGAAAUCCCGAGGCUCAACCUCGGAAUUGCCUUUGAUACUGGAUGUCUCGAGACCGGAAGAGGUGAGUGGAACUGCGAGUGUAGAGGUGAAAUUCGUAGAUAUUCGCAAGAACACCAGUGGCGAAGGCGGCUCACUGGUCCGGUUCUGACGCUGAGGCGCGAAAGCGUGGGGAGCAAACAGGAUUAGAUACCCUGGUAGUCCACGCCGUAAACGAUGGAUGCUAGCCGUUGGCGAGCUUGCUCGUCAGUGGCGCAGCUAACGCUUUAAGCAUCCCGCCUGGGGAGUACGGUCGCAAGAUUAAAACUUAAAGGAAUUGACGG
rnacentral:rRNA from 1 species